rnacentral:rRNA from 1 species
UACGGGGGGGGCAAGCGUUGUUCGGAAUUACUGGGCGUAAAGGGCUCGUAGGCGGCCAACUAAGUCAGACGUGAAAUCCCUCGGCUUAACCGGGGAACUGCAUCUGAUACUGGAUGGCUUGAGUUCGGGAGAGGGAUGCGGAAUUCCAGGUGUAGCGGUGAAAUGCGUAGAUAUCGGGAGGAACACCAGUGGCGAAGGCGGCUUCCUGGACCGGUUCUGACACUGAGGAGCGAAAGCGUGGGGAGCGAUCCGG